rnacentral:rRNA from 1 species
UUUGUUUAGUUUUUGAAUAAUUAUAGGUUAAAUUUUAAUUAUUUUAUGUGUAUAAUUAUAAUUUUAAAUUUUGAAAAUCGAAUUAGAUUAGUACCUAAUUAGUCAAAAGUUAAAAGAGCAGAAGUAAAGUAAAAUUUAAACUGAAAGAAUAUUGGCAGAUUUUCUAAAUUAUCUUUGGAGGUUGAGUAAUAAUUGAGAACCCUCAUUAACUACUUUUUUAGUGGUCUCAUGUAUGAUCGUUUAUUAUAUGCUUAAGGUAUAUAAUUAAAAAUUAUUUAUUUAUAAAAAUAGAUAUAUAUUUGGUUUAUAUAAAAGUAAUAUUUGACCUACAAUAAUUUGUAAUUGUGGAUCUACUUUUUUGUGAAGUAGUGAAAAUGUAAAAGACAGUAAAAAAAUUUUUAUGGUUUUUUGAA